ACUCCAGUACCAAGAGAAUGUGCUACAUUAGUCAGUUAUUGCACUAAAAACAGCUGCAUUAUGAUUCUUUUUGGUGGAUGUUGUCAGCCGCCCAGAUCUUUGAUGCCGUCCAAUGGCAAGUUUUUUAACGAUGUACAAAUUUUAGGUUUUGUUGACAAACAUUGGACAGGGAUGAGGGCUGACGAGAGCUUUCCGUGUCCUCGGGCAGGCCAUUCAGCUUCUGUUAUUGGUAAUACCAUGGUUAUAUUUGGAGGAGCACAGAGCGAAAAAAGGU
rnacentral:lncRNA from 1 species